AUUGAACGCUGGCGGCAGGCCUAACACAUGCAAGUCGAGCGGGAACUUCGGUUCUAGCGGCGGACGGGUGAGGAAUGCGUAGGAAGCUACCCGACAGAGGGGGAUACCAGUUGGAAACGACGGUUAAUACCGCAUAAUGUCUACGGACCAAAGUGUGGGACCUUCGGGCCACAUGCUGUCGGAUGUGCCUACGUGGGAGUCGCUAGUUGGUGGGGUAAUGGCACACCAAGGAGACGAUCCCUCGCUGGUUUGAGAGGAUGACCAGACAAACUGGAACAGAGCCACGGCCCAGACGCCUACGGGAGGCAGCAGUGGGGAAUAUGGGACAAUGGGCGAAGGCCUGAUCCAGCCAUGCCGCGUGUGGGAAGAAGGCCUUCGGGUUGUAAAGCACUUGCAGUAGGGAGGAAGAGUUGAGUGUUAAUAGUACUCAGCUUUGACGUUACCUACAGAAGAAGCACCGGCUAACUCUGUGCCAGCCGCCGCAGUAACAC
rnacentral:rRNA from 1 species